UACGUAGGGGGCAAGCGUUGUCCGGAUUUAUUGGGCGUAAAGAGCUUGUAGGCGGUUUGUCGCGUCUGCUGUGAAAUUUCGGGGCUCAACCCCCGAACUUGCAGUGGGUACGGGCAGACUAGAGUGUGGUAGGGGAGACUGGAAUUCCUGGUGUAGCGGUGAAAUGCGCAGAUAUCAGGAGGAACACCGAUGGCGAAGGCAGGUCUCUGGGCCACUACUGACGCUGAGAAGCGAAAGCGUGGGGAGCGAACAGG
rnacentral:rRNA from 1 species